CCUCCUUCCUAAACCACCCCCUUCCCACUCACCCCCCCCAACCCCCGCCCAUGCUACGCUGUGGAGAAGGAGGAAGUUUUGAGUAGGCAUCCAAAGUCAACAGGGCCAGAUAUGGAUCUCCUGCAGCUCCUCCUGGUGGGUCUUGAGGUUCCUUUAAAGCACCUCCACUCCUGGAACCUUCCCUGGCUCCACUAUCGAACUGCUGGGUGGGGAUCCGUUCCUGCUAUUACCCUCUUCUACUGAGAUGGGCAGCAAGACAGGACAGCACAGCUGCUCAGUGCAGUUCAUAGGAUGGGGAAGUUCCAGCAAGGAAAAGCAAGAAGCUCCCGAGGAGACAGGUCGUUCAAUAUUCUAGUCUAGAAGAUCAGAGACCGAAGCUGGCAUCCUGUGUUGCUGAAUUGAGGAACUAGUACUGAAUUUUGCACCUC
ensembl:antisense Gm15848 predicted gene 15848